ACGGGUGAGUAAUGCGUAGGAAUCUACCGAGUUGAGUGGGAUAGCCUAGGGAAACUUAGGGUAAUACCGCGUAAGCCCGAGAGGGGAAAGCAGGGGAUCGCAAGACCUUGCGCGAUUGGAUGAGCCUACGCCGGAUUAGCUAGUUGGUGGGGUAAAGGCCUACCAAGGCGAUGAUCCGUAGCUGGUCUGAGAGGACGACCAGCCACACUGGGACUGAGACACGGCCCAGACUCCUACGGGAGGCAGCAGUGGGGAAUAUUGGACAAUGGGCGCAAGCCUGAUCCAGCAAUGCCGCGUGUGUGAAGAAGGCCUGCGGGUUGUAAAGCACUUUCAGUGGGGAGAAAGAAGCUAUCACUAAUACUGAUGGUGGAUGAUGUUACCCACAGAAGAAGCACCGGCUAAUUCUGUGCCAGCAGCCGCGGUAAUACAGAAGGUGCGAGCGUUAAUCGGAAUUACUGGGCGUAAAGGGUGCGUAGGUGGUUUUGUAAGUUAGGUGUGAAAGUCCCGGGCUUAACCUGGGGAUUGCGCCUAAUACUGCAAAGCUAGAGUACUGUAGAGGAAAGUGGAAUUUCCAGUGUAGCAGUGAAAUG
rnacentral:rRNA from 1 species